GUCCGCACUGUAAACGAUGAUCACUCGUUGUUGGCGAUACACAGUCAGCGACUAAGCGAAAGCAUUAAGUGAUCCACCUGGGGAGUACGACCGCAAGGUUGAAACUCAAAGGAAUUGACGGGGGCCCCGCACAAGCGGAGGAGCAUGUGGUUUAAUUCGAUGGUACGCGAGGAACCUUACCUGGGCUUGAAAGACAGUUGACCGUCUCUGAAAGGAGACUUUUCGCAAGAACAACUGUCUAGGUGCUGCAUGGCUGUCGU
rnacentral:rRNA from 1 species